GGAGAAGCAGCACCUGUACUGGGGAGGAGAAGGGACUGGGGCAGGUGAGGGCCGGAUGACAGGUGCAGGAGGGAAGGGUUUCCGGCUUUGGUUUGCUGUGUAUCCUAACGUGUGAAGCAGUAGGCACUCAACCAAGAGCCGUUGAGUGAAAGAGUAGACCAGUUGUGCAGCAAAGUCCCUGUGGCCUGGAGGAAACUGCAAGGCUGGUUCUCUGCAGCACUGCCUUUAGAAGCUCGAAGCAGCUUCUGAAGCGGAGGUCCAGGAGCCAGAGUCUCUAAGGGCCUGUUCAAAGACGAAGAUGGAGGCCAGUGGGGAGAGGCCAAGGGAGACAGAGUCACAGGAAGAUGGAGAUUUCACAGACAUGCUUUCCCCUGCGUCAGCCUCAUCUGAGCAACAAGAUUACAGACCCACUGGGAGCAGGGAUGUGACCAUGCUUGCGUGCUCCCCUCCCACCCUGAUACAGCCCUGGGCACCUGGACAGCACUCUGGUGGACCCAGUCCAGUGUGCAGAUGAUGGCCAGGUCUGAGCAAUGGCUGGGUCCCUUACCAGCUGAGUGACCUUGUGGAGUCCCCUGACCGCUCCAAGCCUCAGUUUCCACAUCUAGAAAUUGGUGAUAUGAAAACACCUGUUUUACAGAACUGUGAAAGUCUCUUCUUGGUUAAGCCCAGACUGUCGUCCUCCAAUUGCG
rnacentral:lncRNA from 1 species